AGAAUAAUAACGUGUCAUGUCAAUACCGUACAUACAGAGUUGUGCAUAAUUUUUAAAUUUUACAUACAUAAAGAGGCCAACUUUAAUUAUACAUACAUCACAUGGCCAAUAUAAUUACAUGACGUAAGGUCUAGUCUAUCAUCUAACUAAGUAAGGACCCUUGGCCACAAAAUUAUGAUUCUUGCAAGCGUACUCUCUCCUUAAGGCUCCUCGGCUUGGCU
rnacentral:lncRNA from 1 species